ACGGGAGGCAGCAGUGAGGAAUAUUGGUCAAUGGGCGGAAGCCUGAACCAGCCAAGUCGCGUGGAGGAUGAAGGUAUUAUGUAUUGUAAACUUCUUUAGUCGCAGAGAAAUAAGGAGGUCGAGACCUCUGAUGCUAGUAUGCGAAGAAUAAGGAUCGGCUAACUCCGUGCCAGCAGCCGCGGUAAUACGGAGGAUCCGAGCGUUAUCCGGAUUUAUUGGGUUUAAAGGGUGCGCAGGCGGUCGAUUAAGUCAGUGGUCAAAUCACGGUGCUCAACGCCGUUCCGCCAUUGAUACUGGUUGACUUGAUUCCGGUCGAGGCAGGCGGAAUUCGUAGUGUAGCGGUGAAAUGCAUAGAUAUUACGAAGAACUCCGAUUGCGUAGGCAGCUUACCAGGCCGGCAAUGACGCUCAUGCACGAAAGUGCGGGGAUCGAACAGGAUUAGAUACCCUGGUA
rnacentral:rRNA from 1 species